AAAGUCGUAACAAGGUAACCGUAGGUGAACCUGCGGUUGGAUCAUUACCAAUUCUAUUAGCAGAAUAAGCUUCCCAAGAAAUGGAAUGCCUUUAUUGGCAGGCCCUCUAUGGACGGGCAUGGUUUGACUGUGCUCCUGAAGUGUGUGGUUAUUUUUCUGGGAAGCGCUGCUAAUUCCACCCCAACCGUGAACUUGAACCCCCGUAUCUUGGGUCAUCUCGCGUACAUUUGCUUGCAAAUGUAUGUGUGCGGUGUUGCUUUGGCGUAAUUUUUCGUCAGUUAAGAGCUUCACUCUGGAUGGCCCAGCCUAUUUUAAGCACCAUUGUAUUACAUACCAAAACCUUACAAUUCUUUUGACCUUGUUUGAAUUUGAGCAGCGAUGCUUGAAGGAGGGCUGGUUAAACUAAUAAUCUUAAAAACAACUUUUGACAACGGAUCUCUUGGCUCUC
rnacentral:misc_RNA from 1 species